AAGGAGAGUAGGUUAACACUCCCCUUGAGAAGAAUGGAAGAGGUCCUAGUGGUCUUUACAGCACAUAUACGGUAAAGGCACUGCUGUCUACUUUGGGGCAUCUAACUCUUUUUCUCU
rnacentral:ncRNA from 2 species